rnacentral:rRNA from 1 species
GACGAACGCUGGCGGCGUGCCUAAUACAUGCAAGUAGAACGCUGAAGGAGGAGCUUGCUUCUCUGGAUGAGUUGCGAACGGGUGAGUAACGCGUAGGUAACCUGCCUUGUAGUGGGGGAUAACUAUUGGAAACGAUAGCUAAUACCGCAUAAUAGCAGUUGUUGCAUGAUAACUGUUUGAAAGGUGCAAUUGCACCGCUACCAGAUGGACCUGCGUUGUAUUAGCUAGUUGGUGGGGUAACGGCUCACCAAGGCGACGAUACAUAGCCGACCUGAGAGGGUGAUCGGCCACACUGGGACUGAGACACGGCCCAGACUCCUACGGGAGGCAGCAGUAGGGAAUCUUCGGCAAUGGACGGAAGUCUGACCGAGCAACGCCGCGUGAGUGAAGAAAGUUUUCGGAUCGUAAAGCUCUGUUGUAAGAGAAGAACGAGUGUGAGAGUGGAAAGUUCACACUGUGACGGUAUCUUACCAGAAAGGGACGGCUAACUACGUG